rnacentral:rRNA from 1 species
AGUGAACGCUGGCGGUAGGCCUAACACAUGCAAGUCGAACGGCAGCACAGUAAGAGCUUGCUCUUACGGGUGGCGAGUGGCGGACGGGUGAGGCAUACAUCGGAAUCUUCUUUUUCGUGGGGGAUAACGUAGGGCCACUUACGCUAAUACCGCAUACGAUCUACGGGUGAAAGCAGGGGAUAUUCGGACCUUGCGCGAUUGAAUGAGCCGAUGUCGGAUUAGCUAGUGGGCGAGGUAAAGGCCCACCAAGGCAACGAUCCGUAGCUGAUCUGAGAGGAUGAUCAGCCACACUGGAACUGAGACACGGUCCAGACUCCUACGGGAGGCAGCAGUGGGGAAUAUUGGACAAUGGGCGCAAGCCUGACCCAGCCAUGCCGCGUGAGUGAAGAAGGCCUUCGGGUUGUAAAACCCUUUUAUUGGGAAAGAAAAGCAGCAGAUUAAUACCCCGCUGUUCUGACGGUACCCAAAGAAUAAGCACCGGCUAACUUCGUG